rnacentral:pre_miRNA from 1 species
AAAGUACUUCCUCCGUCCCAAAAUUCUUGUCUUAGAUUUGUCUAGAUACGGAUGUAUCAAAUCACAUUUUAGUAUUAGAUACAUCCGUAUCUAGACAAAUCUAAGACAAGAAAUUUGGGACAGAGGGAGUAGCUG